rnacentral:rRNA from 1 species
UACGGAGGGAGCUAGCGUUGUUCGGAAUUACUGGGCGUAAAGCGCACGUAGGCGGCUUUGUAAGUUAGAGGUGAAAGCCCGGAGCUCAACUCCGGAACUGCCUUUAAGACUGCAUCGCUUGAAUCCAGGAGAGGUGAGUGGAAUUCCGAGUGUAGAGGUGAAAUUCGUAGAUAUUCGGAAGAACACCGAUGGCGAAGGCAGUUCUCUGGGACGGUACUGACGCUGAGACGCGAAAGCGUGGGGAGCGAACAGG